AUGUAGGAAAGGAUGGCCUUGUUU
rnacentral:piRNA from 1 species